ACCGACGACAGAGAGUGGAUGGAGUGGUCACGUACUCGCGUCGAGAUGGGAGCUGACGAGCUCGAGGUAGAGCGACCUUCCGAUGAGGUCCUUGAUGUCGUCGAUGGCCCUGGACGGCCUCAAGCUGUUGAGGAACCCGCCGGCGGUGACCUUGAUCGUCGCCACCGCCGUUACACGCGCCUCCGCCAUGGCCGACGUCGACGCUGCUGCAGCGCUCGCGCCGCUACUGCUGCUCGGCGUCUCCGACCGCGCCGACGACGACGACGCCACGCACCCUAUGGUCUUCCUCCGCGACCAGCGCCGAAGCUGGACCAGGGACGACGACGGGCGGCUGCUCAGCGAGGAGGAGGGGGAGGAGGAGGAGGCGGCGGCGACGGCGACGGGGAAGAAGAGAAGCCCUGCAGCAGGACCUCGCGCUGGUGCUGCUCUGCUACAGCGGCUACGGGCGGCGUUGCGGAACGGCUUGAGCUGGAGAUGCAUGCUGCCUGCAGCUCCAGGGUGUUUAUAUAUUGUAAGAGCUCGC
rnacentral:misc_RNA from 1 species